rnacentral:rRNA from 1 species
UCGAACGCUGAAGCCACUUCGGUGGUGGAUGAGUGGCGAACGGGUGAGUAACACGUGGGUAAUCUGUCCUGCACUCUGGGAUAAGCCCUGGAAACGGGGUCUAAUACCGGAUACGACUUCGCACCGCAUGGUGUGGGGUGGAAAGUUCCGGCGGUGCAGGGUGAGCCCGCGGCCUAUCAGCUUGUUGGUGGGGUGAUGGCCUACCAAGGCGACGACGGGUAGCCGGCCUGAGAGGGUGACCGGCCACACUGGGACUGAGACACGGCCCAGACUCCUACGGGAGGCAGCAGUGGGGAAUAUUGCACAAUGGGCGCAAGCCUGAUGCAGCGACGCCGCGUGAGGGAUGACGGCCUUCGGGUUGUAAACCUCUUUCGCCAGGGACGAAGCGCAAGUGACGGUACCUGGAGAAGAAGCACCGGCUAACUACGUGCCAGCAGCCGCGGUAAUACGUAGGGUGCGAGCGUUGUCCGGAAUUAUUGGGCGUAAAGAGCUCGUAGGCGGUUUGUUGCGUCGGCCGUGAAAACUGGAGGCUUAACCUUCAGCUUGCGGUCGAUACGGGCAGACUUGAGUUCGGUAGGGGAGACUGGAAUUCCUGGUGUAGCGGUGAAAUGCGCAGAUAUCAGGAGGAACACCGGUGGCGAAGGCGGGUCUCUGGGCCGAUACUGACGCUGAGGAGCGAAAGCGUGGGGAGCGAACAGGAUUAGAUACCCUGGUAGUCCACGCUGUAAACGUUGGGCGCUA